GUUAAUUUAUUAUUGGUUAGAAUUACAUGUUUAUUAAUUAUUUUAGGGGCCAAGAAUUCUAUUCACUUUUAUACGAUAUAUUUUUGUUAUACGGUACACACAGUGAAUAAUCCUAGGGACCAAAUUUUUAUUCACUUUUACAUGUGCAGCUUCACAACUUUUUUCUCACAGGACAAUUCACACAAAUUAUACAUAUUUUUUCCACCACGCACAACUUCAUACAUAUUUUCUUGUGUCUUCACUUUGUAUUCUUCAAAAACCUCCAACCUUCAAAAAGAAAACAUAUCAUUCUUCACACACUUACUAAGCCAAUUCUCAUUCAUGAUACCAAAAGACCCAAUCUUUAUUUCACAUUUUUACGAAAUUUUUACAGUAACUCACCAUCAACCAUCAGCUUUCUUCAGAUUUAUCACAAAACCUUCACCAUAUUACAAACAAAAUUCCAAAAGAAAAAACUUGUUACAACAUCAACACAACUUUCUAUUUUGCAGAUAA